GACGAACGCUGGCGGCGUGCUUAACACAUGCAAGUCGAACGGAAAGGCCCGGCUUUUGUGGGGUGCUCGAGUGGCGAACGGGUGAGAAACACGCGAGUAACCUGCCCUUGACUUUCGGAUAACUUCAGGAAACUGGGGCUAAUACCGGAUAUGAGCUCCUGCUGCAUGGUGGGGGUUGGAAAGUUUCGGCGGUGGGGGAUGGACUCGCGGCUUAUCAGCUUGUUGGUGGGGUAGUGGCUUACCAAGGCUUUGACGGGUAGCCGGCCUGAGAGGGUGACCGGCCACAUUGGGACUGAGAUACGGCCCAGAAUGCUACGGGAGGCAGCAGUGGAGAAUAUUGCAGAAUGGGCGGGAGCCUGAUGCAGCAACGCCGCGUGCGGGAAGACGGCCUUCGGGUUGUAAACAGAUUUGGCCUGUGACGAGGCGUGAGUGACGGUAAUGGGUAAGAAAGCACCGGCUAACUACGUG
rnacentral:rRNA from 1 species